rnacentral:pre_miRNA from 1 species
CAUGCACCAGUGGGGUCCCUCGGCCUGGCCUGUAGCCUCUCGCAAUCCGGGACCCCUCAGGGGAUGUCGGAGAGCCGGUUUCACCCUGAUCCCGCAGGCCAGGCCGAGGGACCCCACUGGUGCACG